rnacentral:rRNA from 1 species
UACAGAGGUCUCAAGCGUUGUUCGGAUUCAUUGGGCGUAAAGGGUGCGUAGGUGGCGCGCUAAGUCAGGUGUGAAAUCUCGGAGCUUAACUCCGAAACUGCAUUUGAUACUGGUGUGCUUGAGGACUGGAGAGGAGACUGGAAUUCACGGUGUAGCAGUGAAAUGCGUAGAUAUCGUGAGGAAGACCAGUGGCGAAGGCGGGUCUCUGGACAGUUCCUGACACUGAGGCACGAAGGCCAGGGGGAGCAAACGGG